rnacentral:snRNA from 1 species
GAAUAUGAGGGGAAUCUGGCUGUUGACAUCUUUCACCCCAUGGAUCACCAGGGUUGAUUUGGCUGAUCGUGCUGAUCAAGUGGGUAUGUAUUUCCUCCUUCAUCAUCCCAGUUGCAAACCCCCUCCACCCCCCCCCCCGCCACUGCACACUCAGUGGAAAAAGAAGACCUUUCCCCAAUAAAGAUGGAAAGUCUUUGAUGGAAGGUUUAUGAGUAACUGUGCUCUCUUUCUAGAAAAAAAAAAAAAACACCUCCCAAAUCCCUCUCAUUAUGACUCAAACAUUUUUAUUCUUUGUGCUAAAAAUGCUGCGGUAGGAGAGGGAUUGUUGUCAUGAU